rnacentral:tRNA from 1 species
ACCGAAAUAGCUCAGUUGGGAGAGCGUUAGACUAUACAUCAAAAGUUCCUGGUUCGAUCCCGGGUUACGGCA